UACCUAAGUAUUGAGGUUAGUUCAGGGCUGCUUCCCUGUUCUGAUAAUUUAACUUUGGGACAUUAAGACAAGCUGGAGGAGAUGAUUGUGUAGAAGGUAUUCCUCUAUUUAUAUACCUCCUAGCCUACAAAA
rnacentral:snoRNA from 1 species